rnacentral:rRNA from 1 species
AUUGAACGCUGGCGGCAUGCUUUACACAUGCAAGUCGAACGAGUGGCGCACGGGUGAGUAAUACAUCGGAACGUGUCCUAUCGUGGGGGAUAACUUAUCGAAAUAUCAGCUAAUACCGCAUACGUUUGGAGCGGCCGAUGCCCUAUUAGCUAGUUGGUAAGGUAAAGGCUAACAAAGGUGACGAGCGGUAGCUGGUCUGAGAGGACGACCAGCCAAACUGGGACUGAGACACGGCCCAGACUCCUACGGGAGGCAGCAGUGGGGAAUUGUGGACAAUGGGGGCAACCCUGAUCCAGCCAUGCCGCGUGCAGGAUGAAGGUCUUCGGAUUGUAAACUGCUUUUGUCAGGGAAGCGGUACCUGAAGAAUAAGCACCGGCUAACUACGUGCCAGCCGCCGCGGUAAUUA